rnacentral:RNase_P_RNA from 15 species
UGUUGCAGUUGGUUGCUGUUUUAUUUAAAGCAGAGGAAAGUCCAUGCUCGCACAAGCUGUGAUUGCUUGUAGUGUUUGAGUAAAUAAAUAAAAGAUAAAAUUUAGCAGAUUAGAAUUAGUCUGACGGCGGAAAAGUUGCUAAAUUGCUAAAACAACAUGCAAAUUAUUCCAUAACGUGCCACAGAGACGAGUUGAGCUCGAAAGACUCAGUAUGAAACGCGGUAAACCCCUCAAGCGAGAAACCUAAAUUUGGUAAGGGAACUAAUAAACAAGAAACAGAAUUGUUUAGAAGAAUAAAAAUCAAAUUUUUAUUAGAUAAAUAACCAAUCAAGACAGAACAUGGCUUAUCGCA